GAUGAACGCUGGCGGUAUGCUUAACACAUGCAAGUCGAACGAAAUCUUCGGAUUUAGUGGCGGACGGGUGAGUAACGCGUGAGAAUCUGCCAUCAGGUCUGGGACAACCACUGGAAACGGUGGCUAAUACUGGAUGUGCCGAAAGGUGAAAGGUUAACUGCCUGUUGAUGAGCUCGCGUCUGAUUAGCUAGUAGGUGUGGUAAAGGCGCACCUAGGCGACGAUCAGUAGCUGGUCUGAGAGGACGAUCAGCCACACUGGGACUGAGACACGGCCCAGACUCCUACGGGAGGCAGCAGUGGGGAAUUUUCCGCAAUGGGCGAAAGCCUGACGGAGCAAUACCGCGUGAGGGAGGAAGGCUCUUGGGUCGUAAACCUCUUUUCUCAGGGAAGAACACAAUGACGGUACCUGAGGAAUAAGCAUCGGCUAACUCCGUGCCAGCAGCCGCGGUAAUACGGAGGAUGCAAGCGUUAUCCGGAAUGAUUGGGCGUAAAGCGUCCGCAGGUGGCGAUGUAAGUCUGCUGUUAAAGAGUCUAGCUCAACUAGAUAAGAGCAGUGGAAACUACAUAGCUAGAGUACGUUCGGGGCAGAGGGAAUUCCUGGUGUAGCGGUGAAAUGCGUAGAGAUCAGGAAGAACACCAGUAGCGAAGGCGCUCUGCUAGGCCGUAACUGACACUGAGGGACGAAAGCUAGGGGAGCGAAUGGGAUUAGAUACCCCAGUAGUCCUAGCCGUAAACGAUGGAUACUAGGCGUGGCUUG
rnacentral:rRNA from 1 species